rnacentral:rRNA from 1 species
GACGAACGCUGGCGGCGUGCUUAACACAUGCAAGUCGAACGAAGUGGCGAACGGGUGAGUAAUACGUGAGUAACCUGCCCUCCUUUUUGGGAUAAGCCUUGGAAACGGGGUCUAAUACCGACUAAAUGGGGAUGGGCUAGCGGCCUAUCAGCUUGUUGGUGGGGUGAUGGCCUACCUAGGCGGUGACGGGUAGCCGGGCUGAGAGGGUGACAGGCGACAUGGGGACUGGGAUACGGCCCAUAGUGCGACGGGAGGGAGCGGUGGGGGAUAUUGCACGAUGGGCGAAUGGCUGGUGCAGCGGCGCCGCGUGAGGGAUGAAGGCUUUCGGGUUGUAGACCUCUUUCGCUAUCGAAGGGGUAGGUGGAGAAGAAGCGCCGGCUAACUACGUGCCAGCAGCCGCGGUAAUUC